UUUGCUCAAACAGCAUCAAAUUAGGCAAGGAAUCAUAAUACCCUCGCUUUUUGCACCAUUUCAUUGCAGAAAAGGAGAACUGACCUUCUCACCAUACUAAAAUUCAGCUCAUCACUACAAAUCUAGUACUUCACCGAUCUGUCCUAUUGACAAAUUGUAAUAUGCUUCAUAAGAAUUCGUAUUUGAUUUUCUCUUUGUUUUCUUAGAAUAUGAAAGCAAUGGGUAAAACCUGCACUGUGGGUAAACACGACGUCCUAUGAAUCCACAUGCAAUUAAAUGCGAGCCACACACUGUUUGUUUUAUUUAUCUAUAUAUAUAUAUAACUUGCGAACGGAUGGUCCGAUUUGUGUCGUCUAAGUUUUGUUCUGUUAGUUUUCACCCAAGGCAGGUUUAUGAGGCCUAAAACAUGGGAAAAUUGAGAGUUUUUGAAAAUCGGGUUUUCAUACAUUUUGAACGGGACUUGGGCACUUGGCUAGGGACUUGAAACGUCAAAAAACGCAGUAGGCAAACAAACCAAAUUUAAGUUGUAUACUAAGCUCAUUACGAAGGAUUUUAGCGAAUGAAGGACCUUAUAUCAAUGCACAAUGGGUCCAGAGCCAGAUGUAAAUCCUCUUCCUUAAUAUACUGUGUGUUGUAAGUGACCAUUGCACAAUGGGUCCAGAGCCGCAUUUACGAAGACAAAAAUGUUUGUGCCUAAAUCUUAAGUUUUAGAUACAUGGUGUCUUUGGGAAAGUUUUUUUCAUAUUUUUCGACCUUUUUUCUCAUCAUUGUAAAAUUAGGGUGGUCCCUCUAGUUUAGCUGAUCCAAACAUCUGCUUUUUAAUAGUUUUAUGUACGCUUACAAAAUGUUCUACAAAGUUGUAAAAGAACUUAUUUGGAGCAAGUUUGCCGAAGAAACCAUUAUUCUAUAUCUUAUGGUUCCUAACUUAUAGUUUUUUAAAAGAAUCAUGUUAGGGUGAUCCAUGAAAUUCAGUUUUCUUGCAAUAACUUUUAAUCCAUUCGAUUCUCGUAAAAACGUUGUUCCGAGCACUUUUAGAACUAUCAAUGACGCAUAUUUUUUCCAAAGAGCUCAAUGUUCUAUCUCUCACAAUUAAAAAAAUAUUGGCUUUUUUCUUCAAAAAAUCACUUUUUUUUUCAAAAAGUCAUACAUCGAAAAGAAGCAAAUGAAUUUUCAAUCGCCGAAUUGCAUUGAAAAGAUCGGUCUCUAUUAUAUUAAUGGUGAAAAAUUGUGGGUACCUUUUUUGUUUGGAACUUUUUAUUAAAUUUAAAAAAUACGGUUUUUUGGAUAGAAAAUCAGUUGUAACUCUUAAAAUCGAUGAGAUACAAACUUGGUGUCUUCGACAAUAUUUUAAGUUUUAAGAUGCUCUGAAAGUGCUCAGAACAAAGUAUAGCGAAAAAAUCAACGCAUAACAUAAUAAUGAAUAAAAACGGAUUUUCAUAGGGUAUCGCGCCACUUGGGCGGUGGCUUCUAUAUUCGUCUGUUUUCCACUAUAACUCAGUCAAUUUUGAACCAAUUGACUUGAAAAGUUGUACACGGGUAGAUACUAUACCUAUCUCACCACAUUCCAAAAGUUGCAUCAAUUGGUUCAAAUUUGACUGAGUUAUAGUGGAAAACAGACGAAUAUAGAAGCCACCGCCCAAGUGGCGCGAUUCCCUAUGGAAAACAAAACAAUUCAAGAAAAUUCAAAUCGUCUUUGUUAGAUAGAUCGAAGUAACCAUGUCAAAAAAGUUUAAACUUAUUUAUAUUCUACAUUCCGUCAAUGGACUCAACUUAAAAAGGGAUUUUAAGCUAAUUUCCAUCAAUUAAAUUUUAAUUUUAUCUAUUUAAUUCAUGGAUAGCGAAAAUGUGAAUCUCUGGUAAAUAUUGAUGUUAUCGCAAAGGCCUAUCAAAGUCACAUAGUUCACAAUAUCUUACCAACAUUGUGCCUUAAUGGUGAUUACAGUAAAAAUAAACAUUGGAUCUAAAAUGAAAUGGAUGACCAUUCAUCAAGCUACUUUGAUCUAUCUAGCAGUGACGAAUUGAAUUUGCUUGAACUGUUUCGUUUUUCAUAUGAAAAUCCGUUUUUAUUCAAUAUAAUUUUAUGCGUUGAUUUUUCGCUAUACUUUGUUCUGAGCACUUUCAGAGUAUCUAAAAACUCACAAUAUUGUCGAAAACGCCAAGUUUGAAUCUCAUCGAUUUGAGGAGUUACAACUGAUUUUCUAUGUAAAAAAUCGCGUUUUUAAAAUUCAUUAAAAAACUUCAAACAAAAAAGGUACUCACAAUGUUUUUCACCAUUAAUAGAACAGAGUACGAUCUUUCAAAUGAAAUUCAGCGAUUGAAAAUCCAUUUGCUUCUUUUCGAUGACUUUUUGAAAAACAGUGAUUUUUUGAAGAAAAAAGUCAAUAUCUUUUUAACUGUGAGAGAUAGAACAUUGAGCUCUUUGGAAAAAUAUGCGCAAUUGAUAGUUCUAAAAGUGCUCGGAACAACGUUUUUUACGAGAAACGAAUGGAUUAAAAGUUAUUGCAAGAAAACUGAAUUUCAUGGAUCACCCUAACAUGAUUCUUUAAAAAACUAUAAGUUAGGACCCGCAUAACAAAUUACAAUUUGCCUUAAUCUCCACACAAUAAAUAUCUUGUAUGUGUUAAUGUUAAUAUACCACACACAGUUGCUUUCAUGUUCAACAAUAUGAAGGUCUGUGCAUUCGACUGUAUUCAAUGGUUUAAUUAACCCAUAGCAAGUGGUUACAAUGUAUUAUAUUGUGCAGUUAUUGUUAAGUUAUAUGAGGAUGAAUAUUUGCGAGAAAUGGUUGAAAAAUAGAAGCACAGUUUGUCAAAUGGUUUACAUUCAUAUUUGCACAACACACUGACACAUGUGCAUUCAACUACAUUUUACUAAAGUUGCACAAUAUGACAAACAGUUUCGUACAUUAGUAUUUGUGAUCGAUUGAAACUUGACCAGAGGAUCUACUCAACUACUUGCAGCUUGACAUUUUGCAAUAAAAAAAAGAAAAAAAAAGUAAUUUGUUUGGUCGCUGGUGUUUAAAUGCAGUUUCGGAAAAUCCGUUCCGGGAUACAUCUGAAACGGCAGAUUUUAUGCAUUUCGUUGUGCACAGAUUUUACCCAGAGCUCGACCCAGAGGCAUUCCCCGACAGAUCCAGCCCAGUAACUCCCAAUACCGAUGACCUGCGGCAGCUUUAACUUCAGCAUUGUUGAAAACCUCCGGUAGAACUAAAGGAGAAGAAGAGCGAUGUCGUUUAGCAAAAUGUUCAUACAUGGUUCCGAUUCUCGUCGCUCAACGGCCGGCAGAGAAAAGUGAACAAAAUGUGGCUCACUGCCAGCAUUCGUUGGAGCCGCAACAAUUGGUGGAGGAAUUGCAUCUAGUAGGAUGGGAGUGGCUGCUGGGCAUGAUGCUGGAGGUAAAUAACUAGUCUUGGAAUAGACGGUAAAUAGUUGAUGAAUAAAAAAUCUACAGAAAAUAAAACACAACCGCCUUUUUAUUUCUAAACGGUUGAAAUGCAGCAGAACCAUAUAUCAUAGGCUUAAAAUACCAUGAAAUACCAUUAAUCAAUAAUAUCACAUACAGUGCUCGUUUUCUCCCAGAUUUAUUGUGGAACUGUUGUCCAACCAUUUGCUAUGCAGUGAAUGGUCUGAAAAACUGGAUAAUAUAUUGACCGUAUCCUUUACUGUAUUGCGAAAAAUUUGUUCGAGAAAACGAGCGAUUUUUUAUGGUAACCUAUCUUAACCGCCUAUUCAACAUACUGUAAUUUGGCGGAUUACCAUUUGUCAAACUGGCAAAUCUGUACAUAGAAUGGUUGUCUUACUGUUAUCUUGGACAGCCUGAGAAAUGGUUACAUGACAAUUGCUAAUAGUUAUCCACAGUAUGAGAAACGUUGCAUUUACAGUUUGUGAUUAUGCGGGCGAACCAUAAGAUAUACACCCAAACCUCAUUUUACGUCCACUAUUGGCCUAGCUAAAUAAAAUUCUACUGCCAAUAUAAUAAUUAAAAUAGACAUUUUUAUAUUUUUGUACACUUCUCCUCAAUACGUAGAUGUUUUAAAAAAAUAUAAAAAUGUUGAGUUUGCUCAUUGUCUUGGCGGUUGAAUUUUUUGUCGCUUAGCCAUGCAUGGACGUAAAAAAAGUACGAGGUGUAGAAUAAUGGUUUCUUCGGCAAACUUGCUCCAAGUAAGUUCUUUUACAACUUUGUAGAACAUUUUGUAAGCGUACACAAAACUAUUAGAAAGCAGAUGUUUGGAUCAGCUAAACUAGAGGGACCACCCUAAUUUCACAAUGGUGAGAAAAAAUAUCGAAAAAUAUGAAGAAACUUUCCCAAAGACACCAUGUAUCUAAAACUUAAGAUUUAGGCACAAACAUUUUUGUCUUCGUAAAUGCGGCUCUGGACCCAUUGUGCAAUGGUCACUUACAACACACAGUAUAUUAAGGAAGAGGAUUUACAUCAGAGCAUAUUUUUCACGUGAUUUUUCAUGUUUUCGUUAUAACUAAAUGGUUUAUUUAAUUUUAUGCAAUUCAGUAUUAUAAUUUCUAUUUUAUACUACUCAUUUCAGUAUCAUAAUGACUUACUUUUCCGUACCGGUUCAUUAUGCAACUGAAAUGAGUUGCAUAAUGAAAAAUAGUUGCAUAAUGUUCAUUAUGCAACUCAUUUGAGUUGCAUUAUGAACAUUAUGCAACUCAAAUGAGUUGUAUAAUGAAAAAAUCAUUGCAUAAAAUUUUGUAUGGAACUCGUUGCAAAACUCGAUUUUUUCAGCACUCUUCGUAUUUAUCCAACUCGGCAAGCCUCGUUGGAUAAAUGUACGACUCGUGCUGAAAAAAUCAACUUUUUGCAACUCGUUACAUAAAUAACUAUUAAAGUUCAAGAUCAGCAGAAGUAUAAUGAUUUACGUUAUCACACAGAAUCCAAUCGUUAAAACAUACAGAAAAAAAACUCUAAUGGCUGUAAAACACCACUCUGUUUAUUUUACCCACAAUUCCCCUUAACCAUUAAAGUUUGUAGAAGCAAAUCCGAUUUCGACAAGCCCUGCUUUCCAUAUAUCGUUACUGU